AUACUUACCUGGCAGGGGAGAUACCAUGAUCAUGAAGGUGGUUUACCCAGGGCGAGGCUCAGCCAUUGCACUUCGGUUGUGCUGGCCCAUGCGAUUUCCCCAAAUGUGGGAAUCUCGACUGGAUAAUUUGUGGUAGUAGGGGACUGCGUCUGCGCUCUCCCCUG